AGGAUGAUCACUCACACUGGAACUGAGACACGGUCCAUACUCCUACGGGAGGCAGCAGUGAGGAAUCUUGCGCAAUGGGCGAAAGCCUGACGCAGCGACGCCGCCUGAGCGAUGAUUGCCUUCGGGUCGUAAAGCUCUGUCAGGGGGGAAGAAUGAUGACGGUACCCCCAAAUGAAGCACUGGCUAACUCCGUGCCAGCAGCCGCUGUAUUUCGGAGAGUGCUAGCGUUGUUCGGAUUUCUUGGGCGUAAAGGGCACGCAGGCGGGCCGGCAAGUCGGAUGUGCAAUCCCUCGGCUUAACCGACGACGUGCAUUCGAAACUGUCGGGCUAGAGUACGGGAGAGGGGAGCGGAAUUCCCGGUGUAGAGGUGAAAUUCGUAGAUAUCGGGAGGAACACCCGUGGCGAAGGCGGCUCCCUGGACCGAUACUGACGCUGAGGUGCGAAAGCAUGGGGAGCAAACAGGAUUAGAUACCCUGGUAGUCCACGCUGUAAACGGUGAGUACUAGGUGUUGGGCGUUUCUACACGCUCAGUGCCGGAGCUAACGCGUUAAGUACUCCGCCUGGGAAGUACGGCCGCAAGGUUAAGACUCAAAGGAAUUGACGGGGGCCCGCACAAGCGGUGGAGCAUGUGGUUUAAUUCGAUGCAACGCGAAGAACCUUACCCAGGUUUGACAUCCCGGGAACCCGCCUGAAAUGGCGGGGUGCCCCUUCGGGGGAAUCCGGUGACAGGUGCUGCAUGGCAGUCGUCAGCUCGUGUCGUGAGAUGUUGGGUUAAGUCCCGCAACGAGCGCAACCCCUAUCUUUAGUUGCUACCAUUAAGUUGGGCACUCUAGAGUGUCUGCCAGGUGUAAACCGGAGGAAGGUGGGGAUGACGUCAAGUCAUCAUGGCCAUUAUGCCUGGGGCUACACACGUGCUACAAUGGCCGGUACAAUGUGCAGCGAUCUCGCGAGGGUGAGCAAAUCACAAAAAGCCGGUCUCAGUCCGGAUCGGAGUCUGCAACUCGACUUCAUGAAGUUGGAGUCGCUAGUAAUCGCGCAUCAGCACGGCCCGUGAAUACGUUCCCGGGCCUUGUACGCAC
rnacentral:rRNA from 1 species